rnacentral:lncRNA from 1 species
GUGCGAUAGUUUUUUUUGGAUGCGCAAAGGGACGUGAAGACUCCUUCUGUUUAGGGAGUCUUAAGCAACUUUUUAUCUGAUAAUUUUUAUGAUAAGGAUCAGUUUUAAGUGCUGAUCACGUGAUAAAAAUCUAAAAAAUUAUCAGAUUAAGAAAGGUUUCUUUUCACACCCUUUUCUGGGUGUGCACGCACGCGACAGGGAGAAGGUGCUUGCGCGUCUGUUCGGUGAAGAGUCCUCACAUAUAAACUCUUUUCCAAAUAAUGUGUCAUUUGGUGAUAGCCUUCCAAUUUGGACAAAUAUUUGUGUGGCAAAAUUUCAUACUAAUCUGAUGUAUGAAGAGAUGCAAAAAGCAUCACGUUCUGGGUGUGCGGGCGUGAGAAGGCAGGAAUCGACACAUCAUCCCCUGAAGAGUCCUUCUGUUUAAGGACUCUCAGAUAAGUGAUACGAGGACUUGAUAUACCUUUCCAGAUGAGGCGUGCCUUCUCUUUUAGCACCCUACUAGUGCUAUAAAUAGGGGAUGGUAGAUGGGAUGAUCAUUCAAUUCUUACAUCCCCUAUCCACUCCCUCUCUCCCUCUUUUACAACUCUAAGUUUUAGGACAAGGCUUGUUCUUUUAAGACAAGCCUAAUCCAAAUAGCUCUAAGGGUUUAAGAGGUCUAAAAAAAGGUGGUCAAGUCUAGUAGAUGGUUUAAAAAAGGUUCAAACUCAGGUUUGAAAGAAGAUCUGAUCGAUUGGUGGCUAGUUGAGUUCUAGGAGCUAGAACUCUUGAAGCAAGGUGAAGAAGG